GGGUGGGCCCCUCAGUGAAGAGUUCAGGAUACUUAGGUCUCCACUGAGAGGACCACCCAC
rnacentral:miRNA from 1 species